rnacentral:rRNA from 1 species
UACGGGGGGAGCAAGCGUUGUCCGGAAUCAUUGGGCGUAAAGCGCGUGUAGGCGGCUUGGUAAGUCUGCUCUGAAAGCCCGGGGCUCAACCCCGGGAGGCGGGUGGAUACUGUCAAGCUCGAGUCCGGAAGAGGAGUGUGGAAUUCCUGGUGUAGCGGUGAAAUGCGCAGAUAUCAGGAAGAACACCCGUGGCGAAGGCGGCUCUCUGGGACGGUACUGACGCUGAGACGCGAAAGCGUGGGGAGCGAACAGG